AGUGUGGACUUAAUGUUUAACUCGUCUUCAGGGGCCAAGCUGAGAGGGAAUUCAAAGUAGAAGUAGAAAUAAUUGGUCUUGUGCGACACAAGCACAACAAGAAUUUGGGACAUUAGCCUAGGAUUUAUACGCCUGAGUCUCUAUGCUACACGCACUGUCUCUCUUUCUCGUGUUCGCUCUCUCUCUGAAGGGUUCUCGAUCUCUCUGGUUCUUCUCGAUCUGGAUCGCCUUCUCUCUCGUUCUUCUCAUUCUGGUUCGCAUUCUUGAUUUGGUUUAAAAAAGGAGGAGGUUUGUUCCCCAAACUGUGACCCGUGACAUCAUAUCUAUUCUACUGUGAUCACACGGAUGCCUACUCCAACCGAGAAGUGAAAACAUUAUCCGGUUACCAUGAAGGAUGAGCUAUUUAAAGAUUUCAUGGAUAGAUAUAGAUUUGCAUUAGAUUAUGAUCGUAACAUGGCAAGGAUGGUGUGGGACAGAACUUGCAUGGAUCGCUAUCCUGAUUUUUUGAAAAAUGCAAAAAAAUUGGCCUUAAAACAGGUAACUGAAUAAACUUGGCUGACACUUAGGGUCGUGGUCCUAAAGGAAUGUAAACAGAAAUAUGGGAUGGUUUGGUCGACAUUUGGUUGAAGCCGGAGUGGAUGAAGAAGUUUGAUUCGUGCCGGACUAAUAAGGCAAUCUUACCGAAUGCAUUGCUGCACACUUGAAUUAACUAUUUAUGUUCUUGUUUCUUGUAAUAUAGAUUUGCUUUGAGCAAACUUAGAUUGACCGCACUUUUGAUUUUUUUUUCUAUAGACUUGUGAUAGGAUUAGGGGAAAGCCUAUUGUAACAAAGGUAUAUCAGAGAAGGCAGAAUAAGUAAGUCUAGGGACUAAAGUAGAAUAAUAAAGUCUCUAAGGACUAGUUGUAUUUUCAGGAAGUCUUAGCUAUAAAUAGCUAAGCUGUUAUGUUAGGAGUUAGUUUUUGGUUAGUUGGGAAUUUGUAACUGAAUACUGGUAUUCAGUUAGACUGUGAGAGAAAUUGGUUUCUCUCUCCCUCUGUAUCGUUCUCUUUCUUCCAUUCUAUGCAAUUCAUCUCAGUUUUCAUGGAGAUUCUCUCCAUUGUUCUGUGAUUUUCUUCCUAAUUCAGUAGUAUAGGAUUACCAGUUCUAACAACUUGCUUUGAGCACACUUGGAUUGGGUACUUAUCUUUUAAUGUUAUUUUAAACAGUAUGUGGUUAUUAGUUAGUAAAACAUGCAAAAUCAUUUGUAGUUUUGUAUAUGUACUUUUGAUCAUUUUGUAGGAUAAAUAAAAAUAUAAAAGUAAUAUUAAUUGUAGUUAUUUAUAUAAUAUAUAAAUGAAUUACAAAUGUUUUUUUUUUUAGAACAAAUAGGUUUUAUUAAUAAUAAAGAUAAAUCAUAAGAACAAUCCUCUCAUGUAGAUUGGAUGACAGAAAAUAUGAUCAAGAAAAUACAAUCAUCCCCCGCCCAGGCAGACAAAGCAAAAACCUUGCCAACCAAUGCAUAUUUUGUAGCUACCCGCCUACCCCUGAGGGUGUGUUGAAGCUCAUGAAAAUUGAAGGAUUAACUAUAUAACAUUUUAAAAACCACUUACAGAAAUACAGGACGACUAGAUGUAGACCACUAGACCAGAGUCAUUUGAAGGAGCUACAUAGUAAAAGCUAAGCCCAAUUGAAGAGAUGUCAUCUCUAGAUUUGAAGAUGUAUUACACAAAGAAAUGGGAAUAAUACAUCAAGGGUCAAAGUUGCAAUUAAGCCUUUUCAUUCCUUAUAUUUUACUUGUGUAUCUUGUGAUUCCAUACUCUAAUUAUUUACAAGCAUAAAUCUAUUUGAUUAAUUAAUUGACAUGUAUAAUUGUUACAAGACAUAACAAUGAGAUAAUUAUGGGCUAAAAUCAGAGUCAUUGCUUAAAUGUAAAAUAUGGUAUCAAAGUAGCUCUGCUGCCAAAACUCUGAUAAAAAAUGUGUGGUUCUUUUUUUUUUCUUCGAUGAUGUCAUUGUACUAGUAGAUCCAAAAUUGGUAACUAUCCCUGGUUCUCAUUUUAUUUUGUUC